rnacentral:rRNA from 1 species
AGCGCAGACGGUUAUUUAAGCAAGAUGUGAAAGCCCCGGGCUCAACCUGGGAACUGCGUUUUGAACUGGGUAACUAGAGUGUGUCAGAGGGGGGUAGAAUUCCACGUGUAGCAGUGAAAUGCGUAGAGAUGUGGAGGAAUACCGAUGGCGAAGGCAGCCCCCUAGGAUAACACUGACGUUCAUGCUCGAAAGCGUGGGUAGCAAACA